rnacentral:misc_RNA from 1 species
AGGUGAACCUGCGGAAGGAUCAUUACCACACCUAAAAAACUAUCCACGUGAACCGUUAAGCAAACAAGUUAAGGCAGGCGCGAUUGGUGGUGCGUCUGGGAAGCGCUUGUCGAUAUUCGAUCGGAUCGGAUAUUGUCGGGCGUCGUCCUGGACACGCUGUCGAUCGGAGUCGGCUAAACGAAGGUCGGGCGUUCGCUAUCGGAGCGAUGUGCGCGUUGUCGCACGUUGCUGCAAUGGCUCGAGCAAGCGGCUGAUUUAUGUCUUUCAAACCAUACGUGACGUACUGAUUAUACUGUGAGGACGAAAGUCCUUGCUUUUACUAGAUAACAACUUUCGGCAGUGGAUGUCUAGGCUCGCA